rnacentral:lncRNA from 1 species
ACUUGCGCCCCUCGCGUUUUGAAAUUUCACUUAACUCUUUUUUUGUUUACUCUGUUAGGCUCCGCACUACUCGCGCUUCGCCAACCGAUCGGACGGACAAAAAAUUAAUAGUAAAAAUCCACUAUACUAUCGAUAGCAAACCAACACAACUCUAUGUGUGUGUGUGUGUAUAUAUAUAUAUAUGAGUUGAGCUCGAAUGCCAUCGGUAGCAAACGGGCUCUGUUGCCACUCAUUGUUUUCGAUGCAUGAUAGAGCCUUCAAAUCGACGAUCGACACCGUUGAAUAUGAUCUAUACCACUUGAAGCAUCUAGAAACCAAAUUUCAUACUUUUUCGAUAUUGUUCUCUCGUUCAUCAAGUGGAGACAAAAAUAAACGGCUGAAAAUGAAUAUCCUCUAAAACAUAAUGAUAGAAAAUCUGCAAUCAAGAUCAAGAUUAUAGAUCUUGUUCUAAAUAGUUCAAAGAAUUUUCUAACCAAAAUUCAAUUGAUUUAGAUAUUUUAUACCAUUAAACGAGAAAAUGUCUCAUAUCGACCAUUAAUAUUAUAAAUUUUGAAAUCCUUUAAUCAUUAUGUUAAUAAUGUCAAAAAGAUUCGAAUUUUGGUUUCUAGAUGCUUCAGGUGGUAUAGAUCAUAUUCAACGGUACCGAUCACCGAUUUAGAGGUUCCAUCAUCGAAAAUACUCUAAAUCACAAAAUUUAUUUUCUAGGUACUUCAAAUACUCUAGAUCAACUCUAAUGGAGCCGAUCAUCGAUUCGAAAGUCCGAACAUCGAAAACAACUUGGAAGCACGGAGGGCUCCGUGCUUCUAGAAGCAUACCAGCCCACUCUCUCUCUCUCUCUCUCUCUCUCUCUCUCUCUCUAUAUAUAUAUAUAUAUAUAUAUAUAUGGGUCCGGCUACUAUACUAUUAUGAGUACGAUCGUCCUCGUACUCAUAAGUUGUUUUCGAUGAUAGAGCGUCCGAAUCGACGAUCCAUACUGUUAAACGUUAUUUACAGUAUUUAAAACUUCUAGAAAUCAAAUUUUAUAAUUUUUCGACAUCAUUUAUCUUACAAUCAAGAGGUCACAAAUUUGACAAUUUUUAACGGCCGGUAUGGGAUACUUGCUAGUUUAACGGUGUAAAAGAAUCGAAAUUUGUUGAAUUUUUGAUAGAAAAUUCUAUUCACUACAUAGAUAAAGAUCAAUAACUGCGAUCUUGAAAUGAAGGAUCCGAUCAUCCUUUUUUAGAACGUCGUUCGAUUUUGACUGUUUAUUUUAUGCCCACUUGAUGGACUUUAUUAUGAUUUCAAAAAUUUACGAAAUUUAUUUUCUAGAAGUUUCAAAUACUCUAGAUCAUAUUUAAUGGAGUGGAUCGUUGAUUCGGAAGCUCCAUCAUUAAAAACAACUUAUGAGU